UGAUCAUCUAUCUCUCGAGAUGUAUUAAAGCUGUACUGCAGAAGGAUCCAAGUGGCCUGCGUGCGUUUUGCUGGCGAGACGGUAGCGUGGGUCAAAAAGUUAUCUUGGUCAGAUUGGCUUAUGAACGUGUGUGUAGGCAUUUUUAAAAUUGAAAAUGUUUUCAAAGUCUGAAAUGAAAAAUCUGCCAAGCAUGUACCUGUCCCAUGGAGAAUGAGCACCUAGGGAGUGGAUAGGCUGCCAUAUUGAAUGGGACAAGCAAUUUCUGGAGUCCUGAAGCUUACUUUUUGCUACAGGAUGCCCUCUUGGAAAGAAGAAAAUUCACAAGAAUUGGCAAAGCUGUUUCAGAAAAAGACAUUCUUCAUAAUCUUCCAGCUUAAAGGAAAGCUAAGAGUGUAUAGUCACUGCAGCAAGAUUUUCCAAGCUUUUUUUUUAACACUUAAAAUAUUUCUUUGUUCUGUACCCUUCCAUUACUUCAGUGUUUAUCUUUACUGGGGAGCAAAGCCAGCACUUUGUUUGAACUAAAUAAUAUAGUCAGAGGGUGUUUUGCUCUGUUUUGUACAUGUAUGUGGCAGAAGGAUAAUGUGUGUGUGUGUGUGUGUAUGUCUGUGUGUG
rnacentral:lncRNA from 1 species